GUGUAGGCGGCUAGGUAAGUCGGAUGUGAAAGCCCUGGGCCCAACCCAGGAACUGCACUCGAAACUGCCUGGCUAGAGUCUCGGAGAGGGUGGCGGAAUUCCCGGUGUAGAGGUGAAAUUCGUAGAUAUCGGGAGGAACACCAGUGGCGAAGGCGGCCACCUGGACGAUGACUGACGCUCAGACCCGAAAGCGUGGGGAGCAAACA
rnacentral:rRNA from 1 species